rnacentral:lncRNA from 1 species
UGCUGGAAUAAUAUUUGGUAAGCAUAAAUUUAUAUAAUGCUCACAGAGGCAAUGGAUUUAAUAGUCUAAUUCUAUAUCAUAGUAAAAACUGUUAUGAACAUAAGCUAAUAACGAGUUAUUGAUUUACUGCAUACGAUUUACAUGUAUCAUUGCUAAAGCAAUUUCGUCUGUACUAUGUAUCCUUCCAAAAUUACUUGUGGAAGAUUUUAC